UCCAGGACAGGAGGGGUCCAGGGUGGGGAUGAUGAGAUCAUGAAAUCCCGGCCGUGAAGAACAAUGGAAGCUGAUCUCUGUGGUCUUGGCUUGGGUUAGGCCAGCCAGAUGAAGGAUGUUGCAAUGACCCAAAGUCUCCUUUGUCUUGAGCCAUGCCUGGGACCAUUCCCAAUGUGAAACAAUAGCUGUAUAAUUUGCUUUCUGGCCAAGGUCAGAGAUACUCGCACAAAUAUCUCAGCAAGCGAGAGUGGCUGGAUAAAACCCGGAACCUCAAGCCAUGGCUGAUAUUGAAUGGGAGACUCCCCCCUGGGCACACAGAAGACUGGGUGACUUGGAAGGCGCUGAACAUACUGCGCUCUGGCACCACAAGAUAAAGAGCCAACCUUAAGAAACGGGGUCUCAAAGUGAAGUCCAUGUCAUGUGAGUAUGGAAGAGAACAAACCACAGACCACCUAUUAUAGAAUUGGAAAAGACCAAAAGGACCAACCAGUCCAGCCCCAUUCUUUCAUGCAGGAACACACAGGAUUUUGCACCUCAGGCCUAGAGUCACCUAUGGCCAAAGCACCAUGCAAGAGUCCUGAGUAUAAGCAAACCGUUUCUUGUAAAAACACAUAAAAUAUAUGGGGGGAAAGGAAUAAAGAAGGAAGAUGUAUAAGCCAAAAAA